GAGAGAGAGAGAGAGAAGGGGGGGUUGACGGUGGAAGCGGUCACCAGGGUUGGUGGACUUCGAGUUACAAUGGGACCUCGUGGCCUGCGGAUGUCCGCGACCUGAAAUUGCGUAGAGAGAGAGAGAGAGAGAGAGAGAGAGGAGGCUAGAGGGAGAGAAGGAGAGGGGGAGAGAGGAGAGAGAGAGAGAGAGAGGUAAGGGGGUUGACGGCUCCAGAGUUGGUGGACUACGGGUUCCAAUGAGAC
rnacentral:lncRNA from 1 species